rnacentral:hammerhead_ribozyme from 1 species
GUAUUGUUGAAGAGUCCUACAAUAGGACGAGGCGGCUGUCCAGUAC